rnacentral:rRNA from 1 species
UACGUAGGUGGCAAGCGUUGUCCGGAAUUAUUGGGCGUAAAGCGCGCGCAGGCGGUCCUUUAAGUCUGAUGUGAAAGCCCACGGCUCAACCGUGGAGGGUCAUUGGAAACUGGGGGACCUGAGUACAGAAGAGAAGAGUGGAAUUCCACGUGUAGCGGUGAAAUGCGUAGAGAUGUGGAGGAACACCAGUGGCGAAGGCGACUCUUUGGUCUGUAACUGACGCUGAGGCGCGAAAGCGUGGGGAGCAAACAGG